CCAGCUGUAGGACGACACAGUACAGUACAGCCCCAGACCAGCUGUAGGACGGCACACCACAGUACAGCCCCAGACCAGCUGUAGGACGCUACACCACAGUACAGCCCCAGACCAGCUGUAGGACGGCACACCACAGUACAGCCCCAGACCAGCUGUAGGACGCCACACCACAGUACAGCCCCAGACCAGCUGUAGGACGCUACACCACAGUACAGCCCCAGACCAGCUGUAGGACGACACAGUACAGUACAGCCCCAGACCAGCUGUAGGACGGCACACCACAGUACAGCCCCAGACCAGCUGUAGGACGCUACACCACAGUACAGCCCCAGACCAGCUGUAGGACGGCACACCACAGUACAGCCCCAGACCAGCUGUAGGACGCCACACCACAGUACAGCCCCAGACCAGCUGUAGGACGCUACACCACAGUACAGCCCCAGACCAGCUAUAGGACGCUACACCACAGUACAGCCCCAGACCAGCUGUAGGACGCCACACCACAGUACAGCCCCAGACCAGCUAUAGGACGGCACACCACAGACCAGCCCCAGACCAGCUGUAGGACGACACACCACAGUACAGCCCCAGACCAGCUGUAGGACGACACACCACAGUACAGCCCCAGACCAGCUGUAGGACGACACACCACAGUACAGCCCCAGACCAGCUAUAGGACACCACACCACAGUACAGCCCCAGACCAGCUAUAGGACGGCACAGUACAGUACAGCCCCAGACCAGCUAUAGGACGCUACACCACAGUACAGUCCCAGACCAGCUAUAGGACGCCACACCACAGUACAGCCCCAGACCAGCUAUAGGACGCUACACCACAGUACAGCCCCAGACCAGCUAUAGGACGGCACAGUACAGCCCCAGACCAGCUAUAGGACGGCACAGUACAGCCCCAGACCAGCUAUAGGACGGCACACCACAGUACAGCCCCAGACCAGCUAUAGGACGCCACACCACAGUACAGCCCCAGACCAGCUGUAGGACGCUACACCACAGUACAGCCCCAGACCAGCUAUAGGACGCCACACCACAGUACAGCCCCAGACCAGCUAUAGGACGGCACAGUACAGUACAGCCCCAGACCAGCUAUAGGACGGCACAGUACAGUACAGCCCCAGACCAGCUAUAGGACGGCACACCACAGUACAGCCCCAGACCAGCUAUAGGACGCCACACCACAGUACAGCCCCAGACCAGCUGUAGGACGCUACACCACAGUACAGUCCCAGACCAGCUAUAGGACGCCACACCACAGUACAGCCCCAGACCAGCUAUAGGACGGCACAGUACAGUACAGCCCCAGACCAGCUAUAGGACGGCACAGUACAGUACAGCCCCAGACCAGCUAUAGGACGGCACACCACAGUACAGCCCCAGACCAGCUAUAGGACACCACAGUACAGUACAGCCCCAGACCAGCUAUAGGACGACACACCACAGUACAGCCCCAGACCAGCUAUAGGACGGCACAGUACAGUACAGCCCCAGACCAGCUAUAGGACGGCACAGUACAGUACAGCCCCAGACCAGCUAUAGGACGGCACAGUACAGUACAGCCCCAGACCAGCUAUAGGACGGCACAGUACAGUACAGCCCCAGACCAGCUAUAGGACGACACACCACAGUACAGCCCCAGACCAGCUAUAGGACGACACACCACAGUACAGCCCCAGACCAGCUAUAGGACGGCACAGUACAGUACAGCCCCAGACCAGCUAUAGGACGGCACAGUACAGUACAGCCCCAGACCAGCUAUAGGACGGCACAGUACAGCCCCAGACCAGCUAUAGGACGCCACACCACAGUACAGCCCCAGACCAGCUAUAGGACGCCACACCACAGUACAGCCCCAGACCAGCUAUAGGACGGCACAGUACAGUACAGCCCCAGACCAGCUAUGGGGACGACACAACACAGUACAGCCCCAGACCAGCUGUAGGACGCCACACCACAGUACAGCCCCAGACCAGCUAUGGGGACGACACAACACAGUACAGCCCCAGACCAGCUGUAGGACGCCACACCACAGUACAGCCCCAGACCAGCUAUGGGGACGACACAACACAGCACAGCCCCAGACCAGCUAUAGGACGCCACACCACAGUACAGCCCCAGACCAGCUAUAGGACGCCACACCACAGUACAGCCCCAGACCAGCUAUAGGACGCCACACCACACCACAGCCCCAGACCAGCUAUAGGACACCACACCACAGCCCCAGACCAGCUAUAGGACGCCACACCACAGCCCCAGACCAGCUAUAGGACGCCACACCACAGCCCCAGACCAGCUAUAGGACGCCACACCACAGCCCCAGACCAGCUGUAGGACAGGACAGCCCUGUCUCCCUGUAUGGAUAGUCUACAUCCAGGAAUAAAGUCAUGUUUGAAGAAGGCCUGGGUUCAAAUAGUGUUUGCUUUCUUUCAAAUACUUUGAGUGUUUGAUUGAGCCUGUCUGUGGUGCCAGAUGAGUUUGGUUUGGGGACUACUCCAUUGGUGACAUUGCACCAAUCAAGCUCAAACAAGUGCAGCUAAAUUAUUUCAAUGGAUAACAAAUACUAUUUGAACCCAGGUCUGAUGCAUGUUGAAUACAUCCACGUAUACGAGACUGAGGACCACUACACUACAGCAAAAUAGUUCAGGUACCUCACUCACCUCCAGUUCACCUCAGGACAGACGACCCCUUUUCAUCACCAAAGCCAUGACCCGUUUAAAUGGGAGCAGAUAUUGAAUAGCAGCAGUACAUUUGGAUUUGUGGCCUGGGAAAUCAAUUUGAAGGAUCUGCUCGCGGUCGUUGCUGGACACCUAUGAAAACAUAUGUAUAUAAUCCAUCUAUAACAAAAGCCCAGUCUGAGUUGAAAAACAGAUUUUCCCUUAAGUUCCACCCAGAUAUUUGGUCGACAAAUCUAAGAGGCCCACAAGUAUUUUCCACCUCAGCAAGCUAGGCAUUCUGUCUCUUUCUCUCACACACACACACACACACGAACACACGAGGGUUUAUAGGGUCGAAUAAUGGCACAAAAGAGGAAAAGUGUGUCUGCAGAUGCCAAAACUAAGAAAUGGUCAUCUUCCACCAGGAAUGUUUUCUACACAAGGGUAGAAAAAAAUAUUUUAGCCUAUUAUUAUUAUUAUUAUUAGCAGUGUGUGCUAGCCUUGACUACCCCUAGAGAGAGAAAGGGAAGUCAAGAUGAAGGGAAAGAGAGAACAAGAGAGAUGAAAGGAGGGAGAAAGAGAGGGGGGAAAAGUACACUGCUGUUCUAAUGUCUCCCCAUUUAAACCCUGCUGUUUCCUGUCAUGUCCGUCUGUUCUGUUCCCCAGGAGUUUGGCUUGGCCCGCUUCAAGAGCAACCAGGUGAAGGCCAUGAAGGGCCUGGAGUACGCUCUGUCUAACUUACACGGAGAGGCACCCCAGCGUCAGCCCUGCGUCCGGGACACAGUGAAGACUGCUACAGAGAAAGCCAAGACCCUGGCCUCUGCCCCGCAGAAACAGCCCCAGCAGUACGUGUGACAACAGGGGAACAUCCACCGCUACCGGCUGGAACCAGGACUGGAAUGGGACACUGUGCACGCAGGGCAGGCACAAGCAACACAUUCACAUGCAACACACAGGCUGGCCAAUUCUGAUCUUUUUAAGAGCUGAUCUGAUUGGUCAAAAGACCAAUUUGUGAGGAAAAACCAAUCAGAAUUGAGCUGCGCAUGCACACACUCUUUUAGCUGGCUUUUCAUGGACUGGAAGCUUGCUUGUAUCAAGGUCUCUGUGUACAGUAUGUGUACAAUAUGUCCAUCUAAACCACGAACAGCUCUGCUCCUCUGGGGUUAGGCUCUGCUCCUCUUGUUUUCAUUAGCCUAGCAUUAAUACAUCUCAGGUAGUGAGCCCCUGUCUGACCGCCUGGCACAACCUAGGGGCAUGUUCAAUAGGCACCAAACGCAAGAAAAUGUUCUCAAACUGAGGGAAACAGAGAUGCAAAAGUAUGUGGACAGCCCUUCAAAUUAGUGGAUUUGGCUAUUUCAGCCACACAUGUUGUUGACAGGUGUAUAAAACCAAGCACAGUCAUGCAAUCUCCAUAGACAAACAUUGGCAGUACUAGGGCCUGUCACAAUAAUUGUUAGUCGGGAGUAAUAAUUGCAAUAAUUGUUAGUCGGGAGCUUCAUGAAAUGGGUUUCCAUGGCUGAGCAGCCGCACAAAAGCCUAAGAUCACCAUACGCAAUGCAAAGCGUCGGCUGGAGUGGUGUAAAGCUCGCUGCCAUUGGAGCAACGGAAAUGCAUUCUUUGGAGUGAUGAAUCACGCUUCACGAUCUGGCAGUCUGACAGACGAAUCUGGGUUUGGCGGAUGCCAGGAGAACACUACCUGCCCCAAUGCAGAGUGCCAAAUGUAAAGUUUGGUGGAGGAAGAAUAAUGGUCUGUGGUGGUUUAUGGUUCGGGCCCCUUAGUUCCAGUGAAGGGAAAUCUUAACUCUACAGCAUGCAAUGACAUUCUAGAAGAUUCUGUGCUUCCAACUUUGUGGCAAUAGUUUGGGGAAGGCCCUUUCCUGUUUUAGCAUGACAAUGCCCCCAUGCACAAAGCGAGGUUCAUACAGAAACGGUCUGUCGAACUUCACUGGCCUGCACAGAGCCCUGACCUCAACCCCAUCGAACACCUUUGGGAUUUGGGAUGGAUUGGAAUGCCGACUGCAAGCCAGGCCUAAUUGCCCAGCAUCAGUGCCUGACCUCACUGGCUGAAAGCAAGUCCCCGCAGCAAUGUUCCAACAUCUAGUGGAAAGCCUUCGCAGAAGAGUGGAGGCUGUUUUAGCAGCAAAGGGGGACCAACUCCAUAUUAAUGCUCAUGAUUUUGGAUGAGCAGGUGUCCACAUACUUUUGGUCAUGUAGUGUACUUUCUGAACUUGUCCAAUAGAAACACUUUUCUGUUGCAAAAUGUUUUUAUACGGUGUGCCAUAAUGAACACGACCCUGACUUGAGUAAGCUCUGUGACAUAUCUCUUGUGCACUGUCAGUGAGGCCCGUUUUGAAAAGCAUAACGUGACAAAUCAGACAUGUCAAAUAACAGUGAAGGUACCAAGACAAGCUGAAGAAAUAAUCUAAAUUCCACAACACUGGAUGUAUGCUGGAGUGUGAGUUGAUCAAAUAAUAUAAAUAAUGAGUAAUUAUUGUAUUACGCUUCAACUGCGUUGUGCGACUGAAUUUGUCUGAGGUCUACGAUUGAUUUGUUGGAUAUAUCAAGCUAUAACAAUUGAGGAACUUGACAUUUACCAGGGACAGUUGAUGUAUUUCAUUUGUUUUAUAGUAUAUUAAUAAUAUAUUAGUCCGACAUUGGUUGGUCUGUCUCAAUGUUUUUGCUGCAUUCCUGUAAGGUAGAACUAGCUAUUAUGAUUUUGAAAUCAUUUUGGCUGUGAUUUUAGACUAGAGGAAAUUGUCAUAAGUCUUAACAUUGAAAGAAUACUGCACUUAAAUAAAAAUCUGAUUUAAUAUUGUUAUUUGGGAUACAACUUUA